rnacentral:rRNA from 2 species
GCCCUUCACUCUGGGACAAGCCCUGGAAACGGGGUCUAAUACCGGAUAACACUCUGUCCCGCAUGGGACGGGGUUAAAAGCUCCGGCGGUGAAGGAUGAGCCCGCGGCCUAUCAGCUUGUUGGUGGGGUAAUGGCCUACCAAGGCGACGACGGGUAGCCGGCCUGAGAGGGCGACCGGCCACACUGGGACUGAGACACGGCCCAGACUCCUACGGGAGGCAGCAGUGGGGAAUAUUGCACAAUGGGCGAAAGCCUGAUGCAGCGACGCCGCGUGAGGGAUGACGGCCUUCGGGUUGUAAACCUCUUUCAGCAGGGAAGAAGCGAAAGUGACGGUACCUGCAGAAGAAGCGCCGGCUAACUACGUGCCAGCAGCCGCGGUAAUACGUAGGGCGCAAGCGUUGUCCGGAAUUAUUGGGCGUAAAGAGCUCGUAGGCGGCUUGUCACGUCGGAUGUGAAAGCCCGGGGCUUAACCCCGGGUCUGCAUUCGAUACGGGCUAGCUAGAGUGUGGUAGGGGAGAUCGGAAUUCCUGGUGUAGCGGUGAAAUGCGCAGAUAUCAGGAGGAACACCGGUGGCGAAGGCGGAUCUCUGGGCCAUUACUG